GUAGUCGUCACCCCCAUAUCCCAUCUCACAUAGGGUUAGAAUUUUAGAUCUAUAGAUCGCCAAACCCACCAAACCAAACCAUUUGGUUCAUGACUUUUCACUUAAUUUUUUGUUUCGGCCAACAAAUUGAACUCUAUCAGUUGUGAAGAAUAUUUCAAAUUAUGCUCCAAAAGGGACUCAAACCCUUAACCUGCUUGUUGGAGAGGAGGGCUUCUACCACUUGUUUGGGACUUCUUCUCUAGGAAGCACUUUUGAUCAUAAGAGUUUCUUACAAAAGCGCUUUCAUUAUAAAGAUGUUGAAAUUUUCAUAAGAAAUGCAAAAAUCUUCUUGGGAAAUUACUUGGGAGUGCUUCCUGAAGAAAUACAUAGUAGAUGCUUCUCUAGAAAGCGCUUUCACGACCUAAAAGCACUUCUAACAUUUUCUACCAAACGUGGUCAUAUAAAGUGCUUUUAGUCCUCCAAAAUCAUUCCCAAACAGUCCCACCACUUUAUUCCCUCCGUAUUUUCUUCUCCUUCUCCUUUUGUAUCUUAUCUUCUUCUCCACCUCAUUUUCUCUCUCCUAUAUUCUUCUUCCCCAUUUCUCCUCUCUUCGCAGCUGCGGCCGCACUCCUCUUCAAUUCGAGGCCAUCCUUCUUGUCCUCUCUUCGCAGCCAUCGCACACCAUCUCUUCUUCAUUUGAUGCAGCUGACGCACAUAUCUGCUCUCUCUCUCUCUCUCUCUCUCUCUCUCUCUUGGAUGCUACCGCACAGACAGUGGUUGACUUCGAACGACAGUCGGCAAACCGAUUGUAGAAUUUGGACCACCAUCGGUUCAGUGGUUGGUUUGUGCCCCUAGUGUGCGGUUCUUUUUAGAUAUUGAGAGUCUACCACCAAUAGCAAAUGAGGAGGAAUAAAGAAUGUGUUGCAAGAAGAAGAUAGAAGAUAAGGUGGAUAUUGACUACGUCCAAAGCCCGAAGACAAAGAAAAAGGAUGGAGAGCAACCCGUGUGAUGCAUCCAAAUCCAAACCCAAAGUGGAAGAAAAUUGAAAUUGGACAACAAACAGGAGAGCAGAAACAGGAUAGAAAAUGUAGAAGAAUUGGAGAGAAUCUUGAGGAGCCGAGAGGCAAGGAACGAAGGGGUUUAUGAUACACUUUUUCUCCUUUUUCUCUCUACUUUAAUUUUUCUUUACUUUAGUUUUUAUCUCUUAUUAUGUAGUUUAUUUUUUUAUUUAUUCUAGUUAAAUUAUGUUAAUGGUGAAAUACCAUUAUAAAAUUAAUUUCCUGUUUUUAUCUUUUAAUUUAUAAAUUAUAUUCUUUGAUGU